AUGCUAUCCCCGGGGAGCCAGCAGUCUGGCUGAGAGGUGUGGGUAUGCUCCGCACGACCCGUCGAACCUGAACCGAUUAGCAUCGGCGGAGGGAGUGGAUGGCGCGCGCAUU
rnacentral:ncRNA from 2 species